AUGUUGCACAACCGGAGGGAGGGAGGCAGGGAGGGGCAGGUGCCGGCGGGGCAGGCAGGGAGGGAGCCGGCCCCGGCCUGCAGCACCCGAAGGGCAGGCGAGCCCCCCUGCUGCCCCCCAGGAGAGCGGCUCCACGUGGCACAGGGACGUCUCCAGCACCUGGAUUUAGCCCCGGAGGGGCCGUUCCUCGCAGGUGCUGGAGCGCUCCCAGGGGACUCCCUCCUGGCUGCCCCCAGGGAGCAAGAGCAAAAGGAGAGGAACAGAGGAGCCGAGCCCACGGUGCGCUGUGCGGCACAGACAGCGAGAGGCAGAGAUAAGGGCUUCAUUCAAGCGCUCUCACUCUCUGGAAGUCUCACGCAGAGCAGCUGGUCUCUAAGACAGUCGCAAGCACGACAUGCGAGCGCGGAGCGGUUCCGUUUCUGGGUGCUUUUAUUAGUGACACUCAGGCAGGGGCAUCCACUCGACCCCCCGCGCAAAGGAAAACGGCUGACUCAUUCUUCCAGCGAUGCUCGAGAGCAGGACACGGCGCUCUGGAGCAGCAGCACGGGUCCUCCCCGCGCUUUGCAAGCCAGAUCCCCGGAUCCGGGCUCAGACACCGCACACGUACGCACGCAACAGCUAAUCCGCGGAUGCGCCGGGUCCCUGGAUAGAGCAUCCGCAGCUUUUGCUUCCAAAAGCAGCCCGCUGAUGCUAGGGGCGGGAGGGAAACCUCUGAGAGCUGCAGUCCCGAGGUUUAAAACAUCUGUGGGCCACCAGCCAUUAAAUAGGAUGCUAUGCUGGUUUGCUGCUAUCGGGUCUUUACGCCAGGUUCAUCGCUGUGCCGGCUGGGCACCGUCCAGCAAUGCAUUAAGUGAUGGGACUAUUUCUGUUCUCAUCACAUGUUUGCUCUCAUCCUCUCCAGGGUGCGUGUGUGGGGAAAAACACAUUCAUUAUGGGGCGUCUUAUUUUGGUGAGGCUUUUCCUCUCCCUGCGUACGUGUGCUGUUGGGCUGGCAGAGGAGAAGGGGGGGGGGGUUAUUUUCCCAAUAUCCAGCAUACCCAGGUAUUUCUGUUAGAGGAGGCAAAGUCAAAGAAAUGCUAA
ensembl:lncRNA